rnacentral:sRNA from 1 species
GCUGGGUGCAGUGGUGCAUGCCUGUAAUCUCAGCAGCUUGGGAGGCUGAGACAGGAGGAUCUCAAAUUCAAAGCCAGCAAAAGCGAGGCACUAAGCAACUCAGUGAGACCCCGUCUCUA